rnacentral:rRNA from 1 species
UACGGAGGGGGCGAGCGUUAUUCGGAAUUAUUGGGCGUAAAGGGCGCGUAGGCGGCCUGAUAAGUCAAAGGUGAAAUCCCUCGGCUCAACUGAGGAAUUGCCUUUGAAACUGUCAGGCUUGAGGCCGGGAGGGGGUGGCGGAAUUCCCAGUGUAGCGGUGAAAUGCGUAGAUAUCUGGAGGAACACCGGUGGCGAAGGCGGCAUCCUGGACCGAUAUUGACGCUGAUGCGCGAAAGCCAGGGGAGCAAACGGG